rnacentral:rRNA from 1 species
AGAGUUUGAUCCUGGCUCAGGAUGAACUCUGGCGGCGUGCUUAACACAUGCAAGUCGAACGGACUUAUUUUAUGAAGCUUGCUUCGCGAGAUAAGUUAGUGGCGGACGGGUGAGUAACGCGUGGGUAACCUGCCCUAUACAGGGGGACAACAGUUGGAAACGACUGCUAAUACCGCAUAAGCGCACAGCAUCGCAUGAUGCAGUGUGAAAAACUCCGGUGGUAUAGGAUGGACCCGCGUCUGAUUAGCUAGUUGGUAAGGUAACGGCUUACCAAGGCGACGAUCAGUAGCCGGCCUGAGAGGGUGAACGGCCACAUUGGGACUGAGACACGGCCCAAACUCCUACGGGAGGCAGCAGUGGGGAAUAUUGCACAAUGGGGGAAUCCCUGAUGCAGCGACGCCGCGUGAGUGAAGAAGUAUUUCGGUAUGUAAAGCUCUAUCAGCAGGGAAGAAAGACCCGCAAGGGGGAUGACGGUACCUGACUAAGAAGCCCCGGCUAACUACGUGCCAGCAGCCGCGGUAAUACGUAGGGGGCAAGCGUUAUCCGGAUUUACUGGGUGUAAAGGGAGCGCAGACGGAACUGCAAGUCUGAUGUGAAAGCCCGGGGCUCAACCGCGGGACUGCAUCGGAUACUGUAGAUCUGGAGUGCCGGAGGGGCAAGCGGAAUUCCUGGUGUAGCGGUGAAAUGCGUAGAUAUCAGGAGGAACACCGGCGGCGAAGGCGGCUUGCUGGACGGCAACUGACGUUGAGGCUCGAAAGCGUGGGGAGCAAACAGGAUUAGAUACCCUGGUAGUCCACGCUGUAAACGAUGAAU